UUCUAAAUCCUCCUUUAGACAAACAUUUCAUUUUGUCGUUCGUUUUCGCUGAGUUAGCGAAUGUAGCCCAUUUCUUCCCCUUCCAUGCACUACACCUCGACCUAACGUUUUAGGCUGGUGCCAAUCUUGCUUACUAUUUAUCCUUCAUAGGGUAAACUGACGACGGUGGUAUAUAGGCGGAAAAAGCGUAGGAAGGGUGAGGUUUAACGGGGGUUAUCGGUUCUAGAACAGGCUCCUCUAGGUGGAUCUAAUCCUGAUCCAACAUCGAGGUCGUAAACC
rnacentral:rRNA from 1 species